AAAACAAAAAAAACAGCGUCUUGGGCGCAUGUUUUGUUGUGAUUGCGACAAAAUAAUUCGUUUCCUACGCAGACUACUGCAAAACAACGCGUGGAAACACGUCGAAACACGUUGAAACGUGCUGCAACGCGAGCGGGCGAUUGCGCGACGCUAGCUAGUCGUACCACUCACAGAUGGCGCCAGCGGCAGCUGUGCUCGUUUUUCUCUUUCGGUUUUUACUUUCCGGAGCUGCCGACGUCACACCCCCACGGCAACAUAAACAAGGGAGCGAAUCGCUCGCCGAGACAUAUCUGCAGCGUUGACUGGCAUCGCAGGAAGCACCGUCCGCGUCGUGUAUACACGAGUACCUCACCAUGUCCGAGAGCCACUUUGACGAGUACGAGCACUACAACUUCGACCAGGACAAGUUCAUCUUCGCGGGUCACAGCGGCAAGCAGCGGACGAAGCGAGAGGUGUCCGAACACACGAACCACCACGACCCGAACGGUCACGUUCGGAAGCUAGUCACCAAGAUGGUCAACACCGAAAGGAACCGCAAGAACUCGGGUAGUGGCAGACCCUAAUCCGCGAAAGGAGCCUCUACACUCCUGCGGGGUCCGACGCUGGCCAAGGCACAACUGGUACAACUUUCCCAUGGUGCAACCACGGAACGGAUUUCAACUGUGAUGUUUUACUAUAGGACUGGCAUAGUGCGCGCCGUGAAUGUGCACAGACUCGCUCUUUUUUCCCUCGCUCUACUUACGACGUGGCUCUAAAAGCAAAGCGCCUUCUUCGAAAAGAUGGCCUCCCCUGCCCUUUCCACUUCGUCUUCCACGGGACUGCCACGAAACUCGGUGGAGCUACUCGAAGCGAUGAGUUCGUUCGGGGAUGGGAUUCUUCUACUCUUCAAUAAAAAGUGUAUGUUAUCACUUACGCAA